UACGUAGGGUGCGAGCGUUGUCCGGAAUUAUUGGGCGUAAAGAGCUCGUAGGUGGUUUGUCGCGUUGUUCGUGAAAACCGGGGGCUUAACCCUCGGCGUGCGGGCGAUACGGGCAGACUGGAGUACUGCAGGGGAGACUGGAAUUCCUGGUGUAGCGGUGGAAUGCGCAGAUAUCAGGAGGAACACCGGUGGCGAAGGCGGGUCUCUGGGCAGUAACUGACGCUGAGACGCGAAAGCGUGGGGAGCAAACAGG
rnacentral:rRNA from 1 species